UACGGAGGGUGCGAACGUUAAUCGGAAUUACUGGGCGUAAAGCGUGCGUAGACGGUUGCGUAAGUCAGAUGUGAAAGCCCCGGGCUCAACCUGGGAAUUGCAUUUGAGACUGCGUAGCUAGGGUGCGGAAGAGGGAAGCGGAAUUUCCGGUGUAGCGGUGAAAUGCGUAGAUAUCGGAAGGAACACCAGUGGCGAAAGCGGCUUCCUGGUCCAGCACCGACGUUCAGGCACGAAAGCGUGGGGAGCAAACAGG
rnacentral:rRNA from 1 species